AGGGGGAGCGUAGAGAACAUAGAGACCCCAAACUCGCUCAAAAUCAGGCAGCUUUAAUCCCAUUCCCUCCCGGAAGAGUUGGGCGCACAACCUCCGGUGCAGGAUGAAGCCCAUGGCCGGGCUCAGCACCAGCACGGUGGCAGCCAUCAUACCCAGUGCCAGCCUCCAAGGCAUCCUUCACUUGGGUUUCCAUGGGGCUGUGGAAGUGAGAGGAUCAGCAGGGAGAGGUAUCCAACAUGUUUGUACACGACUGCCGGCAUGGCUGCCCACCACGUGAGGAAACACAAAGGAGUUUCACAUUUCAAAAGCUUAGCAUAGUCACUUCAUUUCUUCCAUCUCCUCACUUUACCCAAAUCUGGACAUGCAAUGGAGCCCCUUCAACCUUAUAACCCAAUGGCACUGGCCUUAUGGUUCCCUCUACAGGUGAUUACUCUUCAAUGGUUGUGUCAUUGUGCAGAGAGACAAUUUAAAACACAACCCAAUGUUUACCAAAGCAACAAACAUUUUUUUUUUCCUCAGGAUUUUGCGACCUGAGUGAGAUGCCUCUGGACCCAUUUAUCCACAAGUGGAAAAAAAAAGUAUAGAUUUAAGUCAACACAGAAUGAUCCCACCCUUGAUUCUAAGGCAAGAUAGAUUGUGUGAUUGGUGAUGUUGCCUGAAAAAGCAAGCCAAACUUUCAGGUUCCUGUCUGAAGGUCACCCACCCUGGGGGCAGGGGUGUAGAAUGGGUUUGAACACA